rnacentral:lncRNA from 1 species
CAGGGAAAGCCAUCCGACAAAUGAAAGUGUAACACUCUUUGUCAUUGGUCUCUCUCACAGGAUCAAGUCCAAAGGCUGCUUUGCAAAACCACCAAGGCCGAAAGCAAUGCUUCAAAGGUGCGACACAAACUCACACUACCCAUGUUCUCCAGCUGGGGGAGAUCGAAGGCUGAUGAUGAAGUCUUGUUGGAGGCUCCUCAUUCCGUGGUUGGCUGAAGCCCACGUGUGUCCUCCACCUGAGGCCUGAGCUUUUCCGUAACCUAGAGGCUGGGUUCCAAAAGCAGGGGAAGGAGCAAGAGGGAGAG